rnacentral:rRNA from 1 species
AUUGAACGCUGGCGGCAUGCCUUACACAUGCAAGUCGAACGGUAACAGGUUAAGCUGACGAGUGGCGAACGGGUGAGUAAUGUAUCGGAACGUGCCCAGUCGUGGGGGAUAACUACUCGAAAGAGUGGCUAAUACCGCAUACGACCUGAGGGUGAAAGCGGGGGACCGUAAGGCCUCGCGCGAUUGGAGCGGCCGACAUCAGAUCAGCUAGUUGGUGGGGUAAAAGCCCACCAAGGCGACGAUCUGUAGCUGGUCUGAGAGGACGACCAGCCACACUGGGACUGAGCCACGGCCCAGACUCCUACGGGAGGCAGCAGUGGGGAAUUUUGGACAAUGGACGCAAGUCUGAUCCAGCCAUGCCGCGUGCGGGAAGAAGGCCUUCGGGUUGUAAACCGCUUUUGUCAGGGAAGAAACGAGUUUCUCUAAUACAGAGACUUAAUGACGGUACCUGAAGAAUAAGCACCGGCUAACUACGUGCCAGCCGCCGCGGUAAAAC